rnacentral:rRNA from 1 species
AGUAUCAUUAAGUGAAUACAUAGCUUAAUGAGGGGAACUCAGGGAACUGAAACAUCUAAGUACCUGAAGGAAGAGAAAGAAAUUCGAUUCCGUAAGUAGCGGCGAGCGAACGCGGAUUAGCCCAAACCAAUAAAGUUUUCUUUAUUGGGGUUGCGGACAUAUCAUAACGAAGAGGUAUCGUAAUUGAAGAGGUUUGGAAAGACCCACCACAGAAGGUAAUAGUCCUGUAUGUUAAACGAGAAGACUUUAGAUAUGAUCCAGAGUACCACGGGACACGUGAAACCCUGUGGGAAGCAGGAGGGACCACCCUCCAAGGCUAAAUACUACCUAGUGACCGAUAGCGUAUAGUACCGUGAGGGAAAGGUGAAAAGAACCCCGGGAGGGGAGUGAAAUAGAACCUGAAACCCUGCACUUACAAGCUGUGGAAGCACAUUUCUUGUGUGACCGCGUACUUUUUGUAGAACGGGCCAACGAGUUACGUUAAGUAGCAAGGUUAAGCACUUAAGGUGCGGAGCCGUAGCGAAAGCGAGUUUUAACUGAGCGUUCAGUUACUUGACGUAGACCCGAAACCGGGCGACCUACCCAUGAGCAGGAUGAAGCGAAAGUAAAAUUUCGUGGAGGUCCGAACCCACGAGCGUUGAAAAGCUCGGGGAUGACUUGUGGGUAGCGGUGAAAUUCCAAUCGAGCCCGGAGAUAGCUGGUUCUCCCCGAAAUAGCUUUAGGGCUAGCCUCAAGGUGAGAGAUACGGAGGUAGAGCACUGAAUGUCCUAGGGGGUAUUGCACCUACCGAAGACUAUCAAACUCCGAAUGCCGUCAUCUUAUACUUGGGAGUCAGACUGUGGGUGAUAAGAUUCAUAGUCGAAAGGGCAACAGCCCAGAUCGUCAGCUAAGGUCCCUAAAUGUAAGUUAAGUGGUAAAGGAUGUGGGAUUGCACAGACAACCAGGAUGUUGGCUUAGAAGCAGCCACUCAUUCAAAGAGUGCGUAAUAGCUCACUGGUCGAGUGAUCCUGCGCCGAAGAUUUCCGGGGCUAAAACUUACUACCGAAGCUACGGCAUCAGUAAUGAUGGGUAGGGGAGCUUCCCAUACGGGUUGAAGCAUGACCGUAAGGACAUGUGGACAGUAUGGGAGUGAGAAUGUUGGCAUGAGUAGCGAGAUGUGGGUG